rnacentral:rRNA from 1 species
CCUACGGGAGGCAGCAGUGGGGAAUAUUGGACAAUGGGCGAAAGCCUGAUCCAGCCAUGCCGCGUGUGUGAAGAAGGCCUUCGGGUUGUAAAGCACUUUCAGUGGGGAAGAAAGCCUUGGGGCUAAUACCCUCGAGGAAGGACAUCACCCACAGAAGAAGCACCGGCUAACUCCGUGCCAGCAGCCGCGGUAAUACGGAGGGUGCGAGCGUUAAUCGGAAUUACUGGGCGUAAAGCGCGCGUAGGCGGUCUGAUAAGCCGGUUGUGAAAGCCCCGGGCUCAACCUGGGAACGGCAUCCGGAACUGUCAGGCUAGAGUGCAGGAGAGGAAGGUAGAAUUCCCGGUGUAGCGGGGAAAUGCGUAGAGAUCGGGAGGAAUACCAGUGGCGAAGGCGGCCUUCUGGACUGACACUGACGCUGAGGUGCGAAAGCGUGGGUAGCAAACAGGAUUAGAUACCGGGUAGUC